CUUACGUACAAAUUGCUUUGGGAAGAUCGAUAGAGCCAACAUCAUUCUAUUGUUAAAUAUCCACUGAGGGAUCGAGUCAACGUAGGAAAAUUACUACUCUCUUUACAAAUAAUUGUCAGAAUUAAAAAAAUCGAAAAAUAUUUCCAUUACUUAAGGGGGCACAACACCUUUAAAUCCUAAAAAAAAAAUAAUUAUGAGUAAAAAUGACAAAAUUAAAGUAAAUCAUUUGAAAUUAUUUUUAGUGAUAUUUAGUAUAAAUACCUUUAGAUUUACUGUGCUGAAACCUUGAUUAUCUCUGCUGGCCCAUUGUGGCACUCGGUGCAAUGUUUUGUGAAUUUUAUCACUGUCCGUAGGAUUCCAAGUGAUCGAAUGGUUCUUUUGGGCUCAAAUUUAAGGAAAAUACUUUUUACAUGGGCUUCUGAUCCAAUCAUCACCACGUACUCUCUACUUGAUUCGGAGAAAUGCGAUUUCCAUCAAGAAGAUGUAAACACGACCAACGCCACCAUACAACUUCUACAACUGGCAGAAUUUAGAAAACUACAAGGAAUGAUAUCGACAGAAAAAGUAAAAGCGGUGAAAGGAAAAAGUACAGUAGUUCUAAAUGUAUAAACUCGAAAUCAAGUUUUGAAGAUCGAUCCCAGUGCUCGGUGACUCAGAUGAGGAUGAAAGUCAUAGAGAACAUCAGGAGGAGGAAGCCUGGGAUUGAUUCCUGUGACGAGACUCAGUGAAAGGGAGUGUUAGAAUACACGAAGUGUACGACACUCGAACUCGUCACUUACGGUCCUAAAGGGCACACUGGUGCCACCUCGCGAGCUGCUGCGUAGCAACAGUUCGCACGCGCUUAGUUCAUCGCUAUCGCUUCUUGAGAGCAAACGUCAGGGAGAUAAGUUAGCGUUACUUUAACUGUUUCUAUAAAGCCUCGGUAGUUAUUACGUAUUACUCAGCGUACUUAUUUGCGAAUUAUCCUCACUACCUGCAUCCGAACACAGUAUUAUUAAAACAUCGAAAUAAGGUUAUGAACAAUGAUAAAGAUAUAAUCAUGUAUUAAAAUAUUUGCUGUAUGAAUGCAAAUUCUGAUAAACUACAAGUUUAAAUAGAAAGUUCAGCUAUCAAACCAGCGAUUGUGAUAUGUUCUGGAGCUUUUGAGAAACUUAAUUAUAAUUUGUAUCAACUGAAUGUUAUUGUGUUUGUAAAUAACAAUUUAGUCCAAGAUACCAAAGUUGUUAAAACAGAAAUAAUUAAAAUAAUAAAUACAAAAUUAACAUUAAAUAAUAAAAGUGGUAUUGUAAUAUUGGCCCUGUAUAGAUCACACGUAAUACAAAAAACUGAAUUUCUUCUAGAUCUUUUAUGCAUUUAUCUUGAUAAGGGAUAUUUCUGGUUUCAUUGGUAUUGCAAAGCCACCUAUAGACAAAGCUAAAGGGUCAAGGCAUUACCCGAUUAGUAUUGCUGUAAAUAAACAAAAGACAAUAACUACAGAACCAUACGUUUUCUUGGACUAAACAAAAAUUAUUAAAUAUUGCUAAUCUAGAAACUAGAAUAAAAUUAUGUCGAUAACUGAUCCAAAUUUGGCAGUAGAUAAAUAUAAAUAAGAUCAAGCUGUAAGUAGAAUUAGCAGACUCUAUAAUAAAGUCGUGUAAUUCCAAAGAAUUUUUGCAUUAUUAAUGGCAAUCAGAAGUGCAGAAUAAACAACUAAAAACACAGAAUAAAACCUAUGCCAAAAUUUUGGAUAAGGCCGAAUGCUUAAAGAGAGCUGAAGUAGAUUUAUGAAUAACGUGAGAAACAUAAAAUCACGAGUUAUCGACCAAUCUCUCUCUCGUAUUCAAUGUUGCAGAAAUUUUUGAGCGAAAUAUAUGAUCUAAUCCUAUUGAUGUAUGUUAACUAAAAGUGGAUUAUAGCGAUACUGUGUUAUACAAGAUUCAUACGUGGAAUCCGUCAAGUUCUGGGUUCUCACGUAACCAUGUUUUUUUGAACUAAAAGUAAAUAAAUGUGCUUGAAACAUCUACUUCUACUAUUAUAUUAAAGUGCUUAAUGCACCCGUGUGCCGUAAAACCAUUUACAUCUUUUCUCAAUAACUUAACAUCCAGGAGUUACCCUGAUACCUGGACACCAUCUAUAAGGCGGAUAUAAUUUUGGACCUUAAAAUUGU